rnacentral:tRNA from 1 species
CGGAGAGUCGUAUAGUGGUAGUACGCGUGCUUUGGGAGCAUGUAGUCCGGGUUCGAUUCCCGGCUCUCCGACCA